GCCAGGCACAGUGGUGCAUGCCUAUAGUCCCAGCUACUCGGAAGGCUGAGGCUGGAGGAUCGCUUGAGCCCAGGAGUUCUGGGCUGUAGUGCACUAUGCCGAUCAGGUGUCCACACUAAGUUUGGCAUCAAUAUGGUGACCUCCUGGGAGUGGGGAACCAUUAGGUUGCCUAAGGAGGGGUGAACCAGCCCAGGUCGGAAAUGGAGCAGGUCAAAACUCCUGUGCUGAUCAGUAGUGGGACUGCCCCUGUGAAUAGCCACUGCACUCCAGCCUGGGCAACAUAGUGAGACCCCGUCUUUU
ensembl:misc_RNA Metazoa_SRP Metazoan signal recognition particle RNA